GAUAAAGAAACAAACCCAUACUCCCAUUUUAAAAAUCACACGUACACCCACCUCAUUCCAUUUCAAAGUCGAAGACCAGAUUAAUACAGGGGAAGAAAUAACAAAAAAAAAAAAACGAUAACUCCCACACACACCAAAACUCUUCACUCUCCGAUUCGGUGGCUGCCGACGUCUCUUCGCAGCGCCGCUCCAGCAGCCCAAAUCUCACCCCGCAAGUUCAUGGAUUGAUGAAUUGAAUUGGGGAAGAAGUUUAUACCUUCAAAAGAACGAAUUGGCUUUGAAACAAAAGAUUGAAGCUCUGGUUCCUCCCUUUCUACUGCUCCCUCCGCCGUUUUUUUUUGAGUGGCUGCGAAUUUGUGAGGGAAAGAGAUUAGGGUAGGAGGAUUUAUAUAGCUGUGUAUUGAGAGUCAUUUUUGGUGAUUGAUUUCACUUUGAUUGUGGUCAAAAAUUAGGAAAGAUUUGCAAGAAGGAGGAGCGGUUAUGAGCGUGGGAGAGGGAACGUAAAAUAGGUAAUUGAUUCUCAAAAUAAUAGCAAUUAAAGGUUGAUGUGUGAUUUAAUUUUGGAGCAGAUUGAAGAUAUGGAGGAAAAAACGUGUUAGUUGAUUUCACAUUUAAUUUGGACUCUUAUUGUUGCCUUUGACAAAUUCUCAAAUUGUAUAAUUAUUUGCUGAUUGGAAGAAGAAAUAAGGCAGAUUUGGAGAAGAGAAACUCUGCGGAUCUUCUAAUUUCUUGGAGUCAUUUAGUAGGAUUAAUUUGUUUGGGCUCAACAUCAUUUGUAUUUUAUUUACAUUACAUAGCCCACAAUUUAUUUUCUACCAGACUGGAUUUUUGUAUUAUUUAUUCAAUUUAUCGGAUCCAACA